AUACGGAGGAUCCGAGCGUUAUCCGGAUUUAUUGGGUUUAAAGGGUGCGCAGGCGGGAGAUUAAGUCGGCGGUGAAAUUUUGCAGCUCAACUGUAAAAGUGCCUUCGAAACUGGUUUCCUUGAGUGUAGAUGAAGUAGGCGGAAUUUGUGGUGUAGCGGUGAAAUGCAUAGAUAUCACGAGGAAAUCCGAUUGCGCAGGCAGCUUACUAAACUACUACUGACGCUCAGGCACGAAGGCGUGGGGAUCAAACAGGAUUAGAUACCCUGGUAGUCCACGCAGUAAACGAUGAUUACUAGCUGUUUGCGAUACAAUGUAAGCGGCUGAGCGAAAGCGUUAAGUAAUCCACCUGGGGAGUACGUUCGCAAGAAUGAAACUCAAAUGAAUUGGCGGG
rnacentral:rRNA from 1 species